AGGAAAGAGAAGAAACCAGGGGUGUCCUCCGCGGGCGCAAGCUGAGGGAUUUCCCCGCCUUCGCGUCAGGCGGCCUCAGAAUGUCCCGGGAUUACUUUUAUUUCUCCCUCCUUUUGAAGCCUUUUCACUCCCGCGGAGGGGUUCCUGGGGAUCCGAGAAGAAGUUCUGGCGCGCCGUUCGGUUGUCCGAACGGGCGAGGUGGAGCCACUGCGCCUGCGCGGAGCUUCGAUGGGCGCUUUCAAGCUGGCGGCGGGCUUUGCGGGGCGGCGGCAGCAGCAGGAGCUGUUGCUUGACUUCCAUGGCUUCCUGCGGCAAGUCUAUGAGGAAAACGAGGAAAACAUCAUCAAAGGACCAUUUGCUUUUGAGAAGGAUGUACAAGUCUAUCUGGUUGGCGAAGGAUGCACAAACCCUGUGGAAGGCUUUUGGAACAGUAGCAGUGCUAUGUUUGUUUUGGAGAAAAGGAGACCACAGGAAGAAACCAGCCAGCCAGAAGAGCAAGAGAUAGACACCGGCACUUGCAUUCCUGGGUCUGCUCCAGAAGAGGAUUCUGCACCCCUUGCUUUACCCCUUUCACGAGCGAGGCAGCUGAUUUCGUUCUAUACAAUGUCUCAAAAUCCAAACAUGACCCACUUAAAAAUAAGCAACCCAGCACCCCUCCCUCCAUUAUGGGUGCGAUGUGAUCGCUCUGACCCUCAGCAAACCAUCUGGCUCGGAGCCGAACCUCUCAUCACUGGGAACAAGCUUACUGGAAUCCAUCUUCAUACAGUUACCUGCAACGGUCCAGUAUCCUUUAAAUGUUGUUCUGCAGAUCUGAAAGAACUGAAGGAAGCACACAGAACAAGACAUCGCUCUUCUGAUUUGACAGUGAAGGGUUUUGCCUGCUAUGAGUUCCUGGAAGCUGCCACACUGGACUACCUUGCUUUGGAGGAUACCCUUAUUGCACUGGAGAGACAUAUCUUUGCUGAUUUUUCUUGGGACACUGUAACAAAGAUACUGCAGGCUCCUCCCCUCACUUCGGCUGCUGAGCUGAAGGUUCAGAUUGCAUCUGGGAGCCCCUUGAGUCCUGUGUAUGAGCUGAACAGAGAGCUACAGUUCCUCCUUAGCUUGGCCGAGAGCCUGAAGAUAGGCACGACUGACUGGCCUAAGCCCCAGGAGAGAAAGCCAGCUGCUGAUUUGGUACAGAAGCUCCUGAAAGAUGUCAAGGAUGAAAUAGAUGGAGUGAAGACACCAGACAGCAAUGAAACGGAAAGUCCCCAGAAUAAUACUGCUGCAGUCUACAGCUCCAUGAAAACACCUUUUAUUAGCAGGGGAGACCUUGAUUUUGCUGAGCAGCUGUGGUGCAAAAUAUGGAAGAAUGUUGCUUCUUAUGAGGACUUGGUGAAUUGUUUCACGUUGAUCAUGAAAUCCCUCCAGAGUGGUGAAUUGCAGGUGUGGAUUCACCAAGGAAGCAACAGUUUACUCAGCAAACUGAUUAAGCAGUCUUAUCAUGGAAGCAUAGAGGCAGUUUCUCUUAGUGGUGACACUCCAGUUCGAAUGCUUCUGGAAAUCGGUGUGGAUAAGAUGAAGAGAGAUUAUGUCAGCUACUUUGUAGGUAAAGAACUUGCAAUACAUUCUCACCUGGAAUACUUCAUGUCGACCUCAGUAGAUCUUCAGGAGCAGGUUAAUCGUGUUCAGAAGCUCCAUCAUAUGCUGGAAAUUGUGGGCAACUGUGUGGAACUUCUUAAACUGGAGCACGAGAACCUCCCCUUCUUGACACAGUCCUGUGUAAACUAUUACAAGGAAAACCCUCUGAAUGAAAAGCACGUGUUUCAGCUCCCAGUCAGGGCAACCUUUGCGAAGGAGUUCUGCCAGAAUGUUUAUCCUCAAGUAUGGAGAGCAGAAAUCAGCAGUGGACAAGGGCAGCAAAACGUUAAGACGGUGUGGCAGAUGAGCACCACCCCUCCAGCAGAACACCCACGUUUGAGCAGAGCAGGUCUCCUGGACGAGACGGGAACUUGUGACAGCAAAGAGGAAAGAUGCUUUAUCACCCUCGCCCAGUGCAGUCAGGUGACCCACGCAGCUUCUCUGAAGGAUUUGCAGUGUGUGCCUGAUGAGAAAUCGAGUUAUGCCAUCUUGGGAAGAAGAAGAAGAAAGACACAUCUGCCACUGGGUUUUCAGUGCCAGGCUUGGUGCGCUUUGGCAGCAAGUGAGGAGGUAACCGUCAAGUUGCACAACAUCAGAUUAGAGAAGGUGGCAACUUUGUUGGCCCGUGGUUCAGAGAUCUCUAUCGCGUCAGCUUCUUUUGCAAGAGAGAUGGAGAUAAAGGAAGCCUUCUCAACCUGGAGAGAUUCCCAAGGGAGGCAAGCCAAAUCAGUCUGUGACUACCCUAUAUAUUCACAAGGCUAUGGGGUGUUUUGUUUUGUUUUGGGGGGGGGUGGGGUAGGAGAUGGUGCCAACCUGGGUCAAUGGGGGCUACCUUGCGAACCCUCCCCUCCACCCUUUGAGCUUCUUGAAAUGGAUCAAGGCCACUUCAUACAUCACCAUGUCCCCCUCUAGACAGAAAGCAUGGACUAAGCCGAUGUGGGGAGCCAGGGUGGGGUGGAUUCCUCUUCUUCCUCCGACGUGCCCUCUUCUGAACCCUGACACCUGUUUAGACAAGGAGAUUUGUCCUCUGCCCCUACAAGGCACAUGCACACAGUGGAGGCAGCAAGCUCAGCCCCUCUCUUGCAGCAUUGGCACCUGUGCACCGUGGAUGCAGCAUUCUCCGCAAUCAAGAACUCUGCUGCUUGAGCAACUGUCAGGCCUUGGUGACGUGCAGGGGCAGGCUGCCGCUGAGAGUCUGAUUCUGGCCCAGAGAGACGACCGUCAAAGAGGCCCACAGUGGACGACAGGGUAGAGACAGGCUGGGUCAGACACCGGAUCAGGAUGGUGUGGAGGCAGAAGACGUGGCCCAGUGAUGAGGAAAGGGGAGAUGGCCACUCAGAGUGACCGACGGAGCUGCUCCGACGGAGGAGCCUGCGCGGUGUCGUGGUUGGAAUGUUGGACUAGGGCCGGGGGGACCUGAGUUCAAAUCCCCAUUCAGCCAUGAAGCUCACUGAGUGACCCUGGGCUGACCACUUCUCUCUCAGCCUAACCUAGCCCACAGGCUUGUCAGCCGACACAUAACCAUGUACAUCAUCACUGUGGGCUCCUUGGAGGGAAAGCGGGAUGUAAAUGUGAAAAUAAAUAAAUCUGGAGCAACAGUUACAUGGGGCCAGUGCUAAAUGUCCCUCUGCCUCUUCUUCUUCUUCUUGCCCCCUUUUUAAAAGCAGGGACUUCUAAAAAGUGGGGGGGGGACAAGAAAAAAAGCAGAGGAAAUUUAAGGCACCUCACUGCUGCCCCCAAGACUGUUGCCUCAUGGAAGGGUCACCCUUGCAGACAGGCCCCCGUUGAGUCCUCCGGUCAAGACUGAUUGGUGUGAGAGUUAAAGGAAAGAAUCCUGUAGGCUCUUCUGGGUGCAUUGGAGAAGUGGGAAGGCGGCCAACUCUGGCUGAAGCUCUUUCCUGUUUCCCCAACAUUUCCCACAAUAUCAAGCCAUUAAAGUCUCCAGAAUUGCUUAGAAGAGUCACCUGGAGGAGGAGGAGGGCUGGCAACCCUACCGGGAAGACCCUCCCUCCUCUUACCACCUGCCUCUCUGCAGAAGUCAAUAGCAUAAAGCAUCCGACUUCAUGUGCAAAACUGUGCACAGACACUUGUCCACCUUUGAAUGUGGCAAGACAACAAUGUUUCUUUGGGGCAGGAAAAGGCUUUUGCUGAAUUUCCUCUCACUUCCUCGGCACCAAGGGGAGAAAAACCCAAGCUGUUAAUUAGGUUAACAAAAAAACCCAAACACAACCCUAAUAAGAUCCAUGUCUAUAAAACCCAGAACCCUUUUAUUUGUGUGGAUUUCUGGUGCGCGAGCGUUGCGGAGCCCAGCUACUUAAAGGGGUUGCUAGGCGACGCAGUGAGAACAUGAGGGUUAACGACUGGAAGGCCCAAAGCCGUCUGUUCAGUCGCGCGGGCCCUGAACGGAACGGACAUGAACGCCGGAGCUGUCAGGAACAUGGCCACCUGCGCGGCCUGGUUAUUAGAACAUUUCACGUCAAAAGCGUUUGUGGUGCUCGGGCAAGCAGGCCCAAUUAAGAGGCCCGAAAGCCUCACUCCAGCCAGCCAUCACUAACACUCAAGAUAAAAUUUGACAUCCCUCUCUCUCUCUCUCUCUCUGGUCCCCUCUUGCAAAACUCUAAUUAAUGUAAACGGCUUUACGAGGGGACCGUGGCAUUGCUGAAAAGGCACAGGACUUUGGCUGGAUAAUCAGCUUAAAUAUGGGGCGACUUCCUCUUCCUCUUCCCUCCCAACUUCCCUUUGGGGAGGCAUAAACACUAGGAGUGCCUCUUUGAAAACACAACGCACUUCGGUUAACUUUCCUUUCUUGUUUCCGGAAUAUGUCCCAUAUAAUAUGAGUGACUUGAAAUGGGCGGGUAGCAUCGCUUGAGAACCGGAUCGUGGAGGAUGGCUGCUUUUAAAGACCGCAUCAACCUCCACGUUGUUUCUCAGGGUGGCUUUUCUGACAGUCUUAAUUUAAAGCCUUCCUUUAAGCCAGUAGUCACCAGAGGUCAGCCCCAGAACCCAUUUUCUGUUCCAGAUCUCCAUUCUGGCAAACAUAUAGGGCUAUUGAAGAGCAGAAGGACCUCUGAGCAUGUCCAGAGUGCUUCCCCCUCACUAUUAACAGUAACCACAGUUCACACAUAGCCCCAACAUGGGAGCAAGGUUUCUAGGUCUGAGGGUGUGACCCUAAGGUAGGCUUGAACUCCUACUUUAUAUUCAGCACCUCUGUAGUAGUAGUAGUAGAAAUUAAGCACUAACCAAACCAAGCUGUUGCCAAAUUAAUUUUAAACAGGUGGGUUUGCAAAUGUCUCUGUCCCAGGCUAUCCUGGGAUUUCAAGAGCUUUCCUGGGCUGUCCUCAGUUGUCUUGGCCGACGCUAUUGCAGGACAACCCAGGAUUAAAAAUAAAGGAUGAAAUGUUUGUUCAUAACAUUGCUAGAGGAGUUGUAUAUAAUAAACAACAAAAAUGACCACAGCAAAUGCUCUCACAAUGAACUGACUGAGUCAAUGGAAGCUCUACCGAAGUUAAGUAGUCCUUUCGAGCAAUUCCGGAGGAGUACCCUACUGUUGCGGAACUUCAUUGGGAUGUCAGUCCAUCUCUUUGCAAUUUCCAUCUCUUUGCAAGUUUCUUUUGGAUACGGACCUUGUCAUUUGACCCGGGGAGGCUCACUCAGUGUGGGCUGUGAGCCUGUGCCCUGCCCACGCCCUUAGAGCAAAGGCAAUUCACAGCCUUAGUCUUGCACCUUAAAAGCCACUGCAGUGGCUUUACUGGUUUGCCCCGUUGCUGUGUGGACCCUCCAGCAGGGAGUGGGAGAGGAGGAGAGUCACGCCCGGCCUCCCCUGUCCUCAUGGCUACACUUCUUGAAGAGAGAAUCGCAGGACAAGCCCUCUUGCCCAGAGCAGCAGCUCCACACCUGCAGCAAAUCUACCCCAAGCCUCAGAAGCUUCCUCCAAUGAUUGGAGCUCUUGCAGAGGGCUUCUCCCGAGCCAGACUGAGGGAGAAACCCCUGCACAGGGCUUGCAUUUGCCUUCCUGAGUGCAAGAAGGCUGCUUGAAGCAGUCACAUUUUUUUUUUUAAAGGCAAAAAAAGGGGGGGGGGGUCAGGCUGAGCACUCUUCAUUUUGCAGAAAGGCCUUGAGAGACCCAGAACAGCACACCUGCAAACCACCUUGGGUGCUUCUUCUCCAUUUCAGGGACAGACAUCUUUGGAUGCCUUCUGAGUUUGUGGGAGCUGGAAUGGUCUAGUUUGACUCAAAGCAUCUGUACAUAUUUCACCAUGGUCCACUGGAUGGUGGAAGAAUAGCCCCUGAGCCUACCCCUGAAGUCUUCCUUGCACAGCCCUUGAAUUUAACUUACCUUCCACUGGGUGAAACCCAGGAAUGGUAUUCCGACAGAAACCCACAUUUACCAGCCAAGCGGCCAUGGAUGUGAAAUGCCUAAUGGCGUGAUGAUGGUUGACAGAAAGCUUACACACAGGCCUUGCUCCUUCGAAAGCACAACACAACGACAUUGCCGUAAACGCUGGAGAUGAAAUGUCAAAACAGACCACUUCUGAAAGGGGAUUGUGUAUGCUCGACAGAGAGGCUGCCUGUUUCAUAGUGGCUCUCGGUGAGUCCGCUCCGGCUAGUUGAACGCAGCUUUCUCCAAAGGAGAUGCGGCAGCGCCUCUGGAAUCACAUUCGUCUUUCACUAAGGAGGACUAACACAGGCUGGCUGUCAACGCCGUCUUUAUUAUCCUAGAACUCUGCCACACAAAAAUGUGCCUUGGUGCUUCCAUAUGCAGUCUCUGGCCACACCGUGCUUUGCUAAAACAUCCUUUGGGUUUCUCCUCUCCCGUUGCUGGACUCUGCAACCUCUAGGAAACCAGAUGUUCCUGAAAGGCCUUGAACUCUACACAUUUUCUUACU